AGAGAUAGAGGCUGAGAGUCAACACCGAUAGGAAGAAUAAUUUCCUCCUUCCCAAAGAUUUCCACAACCUGUGAAUAUACUACUGUACAUGAAAAAAAGGAAAUUUGCAGGGGCGAUUAAUUUGUAGAUCACAGCAUGGGAAGAUUAUCUGGUAUUAUCCAGGAAGAAAAAUGUCCUUGCAAGGGUCUUUACCGGGAAAGACAGGAGCCAGUGAGAGGAGCUAUGAAAAGAGAAGCAGAUGUGAUAGAGAGAUUGAAAGAUGCUGUACCCCUGGCCUUGAAGAUACAAGACUUGGCCACAAGCAGUGGGGACACAGCUAAACCAUAUCAGUCUCAUUGAUCAUUUUUAUAUUAGUUACAUAUAGCAAUGAAAAUAUUUUUUAUCUAUUCCUUAAAUGAAAUAUAUCACUAAAGUUCACACCUUUCUAGUUGUUAAUCUCUCCCUUUUCAGAAUUCAGAUAGAUGUUUCUUAAGCUCACACUCUCUCUCUCUCUCUCUCUCUCUCUCUCUCCUGUUUUCUCUAGAAUGAGCCUUAAGACAUCUUUACUUAUCUGAUCUGUUUUGUUUGGUGACAUCAAAUAUACUGAGUUAGGUUCAACUUUAUGAUACCUUGACUCAGUUAUAAAAAUACAUCCUCCCAUUAGCAGGAAUGCCAUGCCAAAUGUGCAACACAGAACUAGAUGGAGCUUAAUUCCUCCAGAGUUUAGCUAUAGGCCCCAAGAAAUGCUCAAAACUUGGAGGCAUUGAUACCUUUUAAAGUGGGGUUGUUGACUGAAAAUAUAAGUGUUGGUUGAGAGACUACAUGAGAUGCAGUUUAGCUCCCAAAUUCCUUCUCCAAAAAUGAUCCACUAGUAAAAAGACUAAACUGAACCCUGGCAGAAAUUAGAUAUUUAUAUUGUAGAGAAGUAGAUAAAAGUGGACGGCAAUUAUAGUUGAGAGUGUUACCGGAAAGGUGUCCCAAUCCAGACCCCAAGAGAGGGUUCUGGGACCUCACGCAAGAAAGAUUUUGGGGUGAGUCCAUAGAGUAAAGUGAAAGCAAAUUUAUUAAGAAAGUAAAGGAAUAAAAGAAGGGCUACUUCACAGGUGGAGCAGUGGCAGGGGCUCUUUGACUGAAUAUAUUUAUAGUUAUUUCUUGAUUAUAUGCUAAACAAGAGGUGGAGUACUCAUGAGUGUUCUGGGAAAGGGGCAGGGAUUUCCCAGAACUGAGGGUUCCUCCCCUUUUUGACCAUAUAGGAUAACUUCUGGGCAUUGCCAAGGCAUUUGUAAACUCUCAUGGUGCUGGUGGGAGUGUCUUUUAGCAUGCUAAUGCAGUAUAAUUAGCAUAUAAUGAGCAGUGACUACAACCAUAGAUCACUUUUGUUGCCAUCUUGGUUUUGGUGGGUUUUGGCUGGCUUCUUUACUGCAACAUGUUUUGUCAGCAGGGUCUUCGUGAUCUGCAUCUUGUGCCAACCUCCUAUCUCAUCCUGUGAAUAAGAAUGCCUAACCACCUAGGAAUGCAGCCCAGUAGGUAUUAGCUUUAUUUUAUCCAGCCCCUAUUCAGGAUGGAGUGACUCUGGUUUGAAUGCCUCUGACAAGAGUAAGUUGACAUACUGAGAACAAUUAAAGUCUACACAGGGAAUGGCAAGACCACACUAGAUCUCUUUACACACAGAUCUACCAAUUGGCAACUAGAAUUAUAACUUGUAUAAAGGAAAUGAAAAAAUUUCUCUUUGAAGAAACCAACUAGUUUAACAGGCUCCUUGGGGUUCCCUAGCAGGACAGCCAAUCCAGAUCACCUUCUAGGAAAAUCCACCCGUGAACAGAGUUUGCAAUCGUUUUGUGGCACGUCACUCCCACUUGUAAAUAUAAGUUCAAAAAAUGAAAGAAACACAAUAAUACAUAAAGCCUCAAGAAAAGAAAGUUGCUGGGAGGGUAGAUUUAUGGGCCUUCCUAUGGAGAACAUCCCUCAGUCAGAUACAGUAUUUAUUCCUGGAAAACAUUUAGGUGAUGGAGACGCAACUACUUUAUACAAAGCAUGUUUCAAUAUUUUAAUUUUCAUAAUCCUAUCAACAUUUACAUUUUAUGUUCUGGUCUCAGGAAUCUUUUUUUAAAUUUUUCUACCCCCAAACCAUUUUAUCCCCUCCGGCGAAAAAGAAUUUGGGAUCUGACCAGGGGGGUUGAGCCAAACAAAGAAGGUCCUUUUGUUGAUCUUUAUUUUGAUGAACUUAUCUCAACAUUGCCCCAAGCAAUUGUUGGUCAGCUUUCUCAUUCCAGUCUUUGCCUUCUGAUUAUUAUUAAGAACUUCUUCUAAUCAGAAGUAAAUAGAGAAAACUGGCUUGUACGCUUUUAAUGUUGGGGGACCAGCAAGGACCCUCUUUGGUCCACCCAACCUUAAGUAGUGUUGUAUUAAGACUUUUGUUUUAAUCCCAUCAAUUUUCCUUUCAUUCAUUCGGUUUCCUAGUAACCAAGUAAAGAUUUUCUACCCUUCUGAGAUGAGUCCCAUGACUUCCCUCCCCCCUUUUUUUUAACGUUUUAGUUUUAUCCCUCUCAAUGUGUUCUUUUUCAUUUACCUUAUUUAAAAAAAUAACCAUUUAAAGAUUUUCACCUCCCUGGGAUGAAUCCUUUGACUCUCCAUUUUGUCUCCAUUUGUUUUUUUAACUAACUUAAUGUUUUAUUAGCAUCUAUAAGACCCAUGAGGAAAAGCUGAGACACCAAAUUUGAUAAGGCUCCUCCAAGGGAACAUCACAACAUGGGGUGCCCACAUAGAAGAGGCCCCCUUAACCAUAGCACUUGCCGUGACCUAAGUAACAGGUGCCUGCUAGAGGCCCCCUUAACUACAGCGCUUACCAUGCCCUAGGGGGAACAUCCUCUAAUCAUAUACAAUAUUUAUUCCCAGAAAACAUUUAGGUGAUGGAGAUACAACUACUUUAUACAAAGUGUGUUUAAAUAUGUUAACUUUCAUAAUCCUAUCAACUUUUAUAUUUUAUGUUCUGGUCCCAGGAAUCUUUUUUUUUCUACCCCCAAACCAUUUUACCCUCUCUGGUGAAAAAGAAUUUGGGUUCUUACCAGGGGUUGAGCUAAAGGAAGAAGGUCCUUUGUUGAUCUUUAUUUUGAUUAACUUAUCUCAACAUUGCCCCAGUAAAAAUAUCAUAAACUACCUUUAAGAACAUCUAGUUUUCACUUAUUUUGAGACUUUCUAAUAUGAUUGAUAAAUAUCUUGAGAGAUAUGUAGAGAUAUUAGAACUCAGGCAGUCAUUUCAUUAUUGUUAAUUUAAGUUGAUAAAUCUAUAUCAUGUCUUUUAAGACUGCCUGGGUCCAGUCUUCUUUCCCAAACCCCUCCUUCACACAUCUCCCUGCUGACUACCUCUCUUCCUGGGCUGCUGUUAGUGUUGGGAACACUCCAUGUUCCAUCCCAUAUCAGGGCCUUUUAAAAACUAUCUACUUUUAAUAUGUUAUAUAUAACAGGCGUAUUCCCCAGGUGAAAACCCCUGUCAUCAUAUAGCCAGGCCCCCAAGGCUUGCAUAGGAAGCAUAUCAGCUGCUAAUAUGGGGUGCUCUACUUGGCAUUUAUAGGGGUAGUUGGGCAGUCCCUUUCUCAGGGAAAAUAGAACUUACAGUGGCUUUUAUCCAGAUACUAUGCACAUUUUAAACUUUUGUAAAGAAAAAAAAUAAAAGUAGAUAGCACAAAAAAAAAUAAAAGUACAAUAAUGAGAUGACUGCCUAAGUUCAUAUAUAUAUAUAAUAUAUAUAUCUCAAGAUAUUUAUCAACCAUAGUACAAAAUAAAAAUAAAAGUACAAUGAAAUGACAGCCUAAUUCACACAUAUGUGUGUAUAUAUAUAUGUAUAGUAUAUGUAUAUAUCUCAAGAUAUAUAUCUUGAGAUAUAUACAUAUACUAUACAUAUAUAUAUACACACGUGUGUAUAUAUACUAUACACAUAUACACACACAUGUGUAUAUACAUAUAUACACAUGUGCGUGUAUAUAUACACGUGUGUGUAUAUAUGUAUAGUAUAUGUAUAUAUCUCAAGAUGUAUAGUAUAUGCAUGUAUCUCAAGAUGUAUAGCAUAUGUAUCUCAAGAUGUAUACAUAUACUAUACAUAUAUAUACAAAAACACGUGUGUGUAUAUAUAUACAUGCACAUAUGUGUGUGCGUGUAUAUAUACAUAGUAUAUGUCUAUAUCGCAAGAUAUUUAUCAAUCAUAUUAGAAAAUCUCAAAAUAAAUGAAAACUAGAUGUUCUUAAAGGGAGUUUAUGAUAUUUUUAUCUGAGCCUUAAAACUCACUAAUUUUUAAAAAGAGAUAUAUAGUAGAAACUGCAAAUCCUAUUUCAAUUCAAUAUUCUGUUUAGUUCGAGUUGACUAAGCAAGCUUGUCCGUUGAAAAAUGAGACUGGAAUAUCCUUUUUUUUUUUUUUUCUUUCAAAAUAGUCUCUUAGUAUCUUAGAGUUGGAAUUGAUAUAAAGAUGAUUGGUUUAAUUCUGUUAUUUUUCAGAUGAGGUCCACAUAGGAAA
rnacentral:lncRNA from 10 species